rnacentral:rRNA from 1 species
UCAGACGAUGCGUCAUGCAUAUCAAUAAGCGGAGGAAAAGAAACUAACAAGGAUUCCCUCAGUAACGGCGAGUGAAGCGGGAAGAGCUCAAAUUUGAAAUCUUGAAAGGUCACCUUUCACGAAUUGUAGUUUAAAGAAGUGUUUUCUGUUACGAUCGUAAUAUAAGUUCUUUGGAAUAGGACAUCACAGAGGGUGAGAAUCCCGUCUAUGAUUGCGAUUUGUAGCUUUGUGAUACACUUUCAAAGAGUCGGGUUGUUUGGGAAUGCAGCCCAAAACGGGAGGUAAAUUUCUUCUAAGGCUAAAUAUUGGCGAGAGACCGAUAGCGAACAAGUACCGUGAGGGAAAGAUGAAAAGAACUUUGAAAAGAGAGUUAAAUAGUACGUGAAAUUGUCAAAAGGGAAGCGUUUAACACCAGUGUUGUUUUCUGAAAAUCAACCUCUGUUAGCUUUAUGCAUGUUUGUUUAGACCUAAUCAGCUAUCUUGCAUGUUCUAUUGUUUGCAGUGGUGCACUUUUCAGUUUACAGGUCAACAUCAGUUUUUUUUACCGUAAAAAAGUUAAAGAAAGGUAGCUCAUGGCUCCGGUCGUGAGUGUUAUAGUCUUUUUCCUAUGCGGUAGGAGAGACUGAGGUCUGCAGUGUAGGCUAUUUGGCUAGAUACUCAGGUGCUAUGUGAUACCAUUUCAUAAACAACUUGUUGAUUAUGUUUUGUCUAUUGCAUACUCGCUUGUACUAUCAUACCUACGCUUAGGAUGUUGAUCUGUAGUGCGUGCGC